rnacentral:rRNA from 1 species
GGGGGCGGGGAAAGCUGUGGCGGAGUGGGAUGGGGUCGCGUCCUAUCAGCUUGCUGGCGGGGGGAGGGCCCACCAAGGCUUCUACGGGUAGCCGGCCUGAGAGGGCGACCGGCCACNUUGGGACUGAGAUACGGACCAAAGUCCUACGGGAGGGAGCAGUGGGGAAUAUUGCACAAUGGGGGCAAGCCUGAUGCAGCGACGCCGCGCGCGGNAUGGAGGCCUUCGGGUUGUAAACCGCUUUUGUUUGGGAGCAAGNCCUUCGGGGNGAGUGUACCUUUCAAAUAAGCACCGGUUAACUACGUGCCAGCAGCCGCGGUAAUACGUANGGGGCGAGCGUUAUCCGGAUUUAUUGGAUGNAAAGGCUUCGUAGGCGGUUCGUCGCGUCCGGGGUGAAAGUCCAUCGCCUAACGGUGGAUCUGCCCCGGGUACGGGCGGGCUGGAGUNCGGUAGGGGAGACUGGAAUUCCCGGUGUAACGGUGGAAUGUGUACAUAUCGGGAAGAACACCAAUGGCGAAGGCAGGUCUCUGGGCCGUUACUGACNCUGAGGAGCGAAAGCGUGGGGAGCGAACAGGAUUAGAUACCCUGAUAGUCCACGCCGUAAACGGUGGAUGCUGGAUGUGGGGCCCUUCCACGGGUCCCGUGUCGGAGCCAACGCGUUAAGCAUCCCGCCUGGGGAGUACGGCCGCAAGGCUAAAACUCAAAAAAAUUGACGGGGGCCCGCACAAACGGCGGAGCAUGCGGAUUAAUUCGAUGCAACGCGAAGAACCUUACCUGGGCUUGACAUGUUCCCGGCGACGGCGGAGACGUCGUUUCCCUUCGGGGCGGGUUCACAGGUGGUGCAUGGUCGUCGUCAGCUCGUGUCGUGAGAUGUUGGGUCAAGUCCCGCAACGAGCGCAACCCUCGCCCCGUGUUGCCAGCGCGUCAUGGCGGGAACUCACGGGGGACCGCCGGGGUUAACCCGGAGGAAGGUGGGGAUGACGUCAGAUCAUCAUACCCCUUACGUCCAGGGCUUCACGCAUCGUACAAUGGCCGGUNCAGCGGGAUGCUGACAUGGUGACAUGGAGCGGAUCCCUGAAAAACCGGUCUCAGUUCGGAUCUGANCCUNCAACCCGG